UAUGAGAAGUUAGCCCGGGCAAAAGAAGGUCCAUCAAAUCAACAUUUGGCUAGUGGAGAAGCCUCUAGCACUGGUGAAGGUGAUUAUGAUAUGUUUGCUGACGAGGAUGAUAACAGUGGAGCAUUGCAAAAUGAUUAUGUGUAUGAUGAAUCUUCUGGGUACUAUUAUAGCAGCAGUUUGGGCUAUUAUUAUGAUCCAAAUACCGGGCUUUAUUGCUCUGCAGCAUCAGGACAAUGGUAC